rnacentral:rRNA from 1 species
CUCCUGAGGAUGCUCGCGUUAUCCUGCUUUAUUUUUUUUACCUUUUGCGCAGGCGGGAUUUUACGUCAGCGGUGAAAUUUUCAGGCUCAACCUGAACACUGCCGUUGAAACUGGGAUUCUUGAGUAUGGAUGAAGUAGGCGGAAUUCGUUGUGUAGCGGUGACAUGCUUAGAUAUAACGAGGAACUCCGAUUGCGUAGGCAGCUUACUAAGCCAUAACUGACGCUCAAGCACGAAAGCGUGGGGAUCAAACAGGAUUAGAUACCCUGGUAGUCCACGCCGUAAACGAUGAUUACUAGUUGUUUGCGAUAUACCGUAAGUGACUAAGCGAAAGCGAUAAGUAAUCCACCUGGGGAGUACGCCGGCAACGGUGAA